UACGUAGGGGGCAAGCGUUGUCCGGAAUCAUUGGGCGUAAAGCGCGCGUAGGCGGCCCGGUAAGUCCGCUGUAAAAGUCCAGGGCUCAACCCUGGAAAGCCGGUGGAUACUGUCGGGCUCGAGUCCGGAAGAGGCGAGUGGAAUUCCUGGUGUAGCGGUGGAAUGCGCAGAUAUCAGGAAGAACACCCGUGGCGAAGGCGGCUCUCUGGGACGGUACUGACGCUGAGACGCGAAAGCGUGGGGAGCGAACAGG
rnacentral:rRNA from 1 species